GUAUAGAUAGGGUUAGGUGGUUGUGCUUGGGACAGGAAGGAGCCAGCUGGAACUGCAGAAGGAAAAGAGAAGAAGGAGAGAAAGUGCCAGAUCCAUGUGGAGCUGCCUGUGGGAGGCUACAUAGAGAAGGGUAUGUGGCUUUUUGUAUUGUUGUAUGUUGUGGUUUAACUCCAGCUGGCAACAAAGCACCGAACAGCUGCUUGCUCCCACCCCUCACCCACUGGGGAAGAAAAUAACGGGGGGGAAGAAAGCAAAACUGAUUCCAGAGUUCUUUGAAAUCUUGUCUGCUGUGUUGGACUGUGGCUCUGGAAGGCUGGGCACUGGUCUCGGGUGGGUCCCCAGAGUGUGGCAUGUGGCUUGAUCCCACUCUUGAGAUUCUGCAAUGAUCUGCUGGUUAGAGGCACAGCACAUUGCCCUGUGUGUCCUGGAGCUGAAAUGUCCACCCGUGGAGGUCGCUGUCUGUGGCUUUUGAAUCCUUUAUGAAAAAAGAAACAAGAGAGUUGCGGGGUGGAAAUGGAAUCAUUGAAAAGAUUGGGAAUGUGUCCCAGGGCUGCCCUGUAAAACAUGAUGUCUGAAAAUCUGCUAGAAGGGCUUUGAUUCCCGUCUGUUGACGCUGUCAAUUAGCUGCUCCUGGGCUUAGCUGGGUGUAAUAGGGCAGAGCACAAACAAGGAAGAAAAGGGAGCACAUUCUCUCACAGUAAAUAUGUAAGUACUGUGCUUCCAUGAAUUUUGUGCUUUUCCAAGGUCAGCACGACAUUGAGCACGAGUGAAACCAAAGUAUGUUCUAGGAAGCCUGUAGCACUUAAGUAAAGCUCUUUUUCUUCUUGGCAAAACAGUUCUGAUGCUAAAACAGUGUCUAAAAGUCAGACAUUAGUAUUUGCCUCAGGUGAGCUCCUGGCAAUUGCUAUGAAAUAAGUUUGGUUAACAGAUGCCUGCCCUGACUCAUCAGGCAGUUGUUGUUAAUAUGAUAAUCAAAAGGUAAAUUUUCCCACUAUUAAAAGUUAUUGAAAUAAUAAAGGUAUAUUCU